GGAGAGGUGGCAGAGUGGUCGAAUGCACCGGUCUUGAAAACCGGCGUACCGAGAGGUACCGGGGGUUCGAAUCCCUCCCUCUCCG
rnacentral:tRNA from 1 species